UUUUCUUCGUAUAAAGAAAAACACCUUGAACCCAAUUCGGUGCAAAUGUAGCCGAUCUCUUACGUUGUGCGGUGUAGCGCGACAAAUGGUCAAACAAGUAUUUUAGGUCCAGAACUCUUUUAUUUA